rnacentral:lncRNA from 1 species
CAGGAUCUUCUUCUUCUACUUCUCCUAUGUGUAACGCUCUAGUGGGGCAUUGGCUUGCAUAAUGUCCUAUUUUAUGACACCUAAAACAAGGGACAUUGUUUUCCUUUCUACCUUCAGGGGCCUUUCCUUUGUCGUCCCUACGAGUCUGUGGAGUGAUAGGAUUGGGUCUGUGUGAUGGGUUUGGACUUGGGUUUGGCCUGCUUCCAGGGUUGCUAAUCCUAUUGGGUUCAGGUCGUCGAAAAAUGGGUCCCCUCUGGAAUCGUUCGCAGUCUCUGACAAUCUAGUAGGCUUGGUCUAAAUCAUGAAUUUUUCUUAAGAACAAUUCCCUUUGAAUGUCCUCCUUAAGACCAGCUCUAAACCUAGAUAGGGUUACGGCUUCUGACUCGACUAUGUUGCACCUUAUAGCGAACUCAUUAAAUUUGGCAAUGUACUCAGAUACAGUUUUUCCUCCUUGAUUUAAUCUUUGCCAUUGAUCUAGUAACCUCUGUUCGUAGGAUAAUGGGACGUAUUUCUCUCUUAGCUUAAUUU